GCAGAGACAUCAGAAGGACAUCAAAAGGACCUGUAACCCAUGAAAGUCUCGUUUUUACCUGAACAAUGGAAACAGAAAAAACAACAGCCUUUUACAUUUGGCUUCCUGACAAGUGCAGGUCUUACACUCUUUCUGUCCCCACUUCCACUGUUUUCCGAACCUGGGAGUGGUUGAGAUAGAUGUCGCAUUUAGGACUGAGCACUCCACAGACACUUGUCCUCAGUGCUCAGCCAGCUGUGAGUCUCUGCACUGACUGCUGCCCGCUGCAGAAAGGAGCUUCUCUGGCCACAGCUGAGAGCAGCGCUGACCUAUCUGCUGCUCCUCCUAGGACUCUGGUUUCCUGAGGAGGAAGGAAGGAUGAAAAGAUCAGUGACCAUCAGAGCGUCAGAGGCUCUCUCUCCCUCCCCCUCUCCUCCCUCUCUCCUUCCACCUCUCCUUCCCCCUCUCCUUCCCCCUCUACUUCCCCCUCUCCCUCUCUUUUUCCCUCUCCCUCUCCCUCUCCUCCGUCUCCUCUCCCCCUCCCCUCCCC
rnacentral:lncRNA from 1 species